AGUUUACUCAACGACACUCAGGAGAAGACUGUUGAUCAGAAUUCCCUGGUCGUUAUAUUUAUUGCCCUCUGAUUACAUGUAUUGUAAUAUUUAGGUACAUUAAAUGGCGGGAAAUAGUAUGUACAUUGCAUUUUUAUGUGUUAGUGUAUUAUGUCUAUUUUUUUUUUUUAGCUAUAUUUAAGCUUAAAGCUAGAUUAUGUGUUAGUAUAUUUUGGGUUACAUUUGGGAUUUAAGGUUGAGGGUCACACUGUUAUUUAAUGUAAACAUUGGUGGUAAUAAUUUAGGCGUGCUUUCUUUUCCCGCAGUAACUUGGGUCGGAUUUCCAUCGCGAGUCAUCCUCCUGCUUGUCAGAGCCAAGAUACCAUUUGGGGCAGGUGCAGCAGAGAUUUUUUACGGAGACAACUCGCAAUAGUG